rfam:Hordeum vulgare subsp. vulgare, WGS project CAJW01000000 data, contig: morex_contig_50724
CAUGUACUCCCUCUGUCCCCAAUUACUUGUCGCGGAAAUGGAUGUAUCUAGACGUAUUUUAGGUCUAGAUACAUCCAUUUCCGCGACAAGUUAUUCCGGACGGAGGGACUAUUUU